AGAGUUUGAUCAUGGCUCAGAACGAACGCUGGCGGCGUGGAUAAGACAUGCAAGUCGAGCGCUGAUUACAGGGUAGCAAUAUUCUGUGGUCGGAGCGGCGCAAGGGUGCGUAACACGUGGGUAAUCUGCCAUGAAGUUUGGAAUAACUCGCUGAAAGGCGAGCUAAUGCCGGAUGUGACAAUUUGGAGGCAUCUUCGAAUUGUCAAAGCUGGGGACCGUAAGGCCUGGCGCUUCAUGAUGAGCCCGCGGCCUAUCAGCUAGUUGGUGAGGUAACGGCUCACCAAGGCUAAGACGGGUAGCUGGUCUGAGAGGACGACCAGCCACACUGGAACUGAGACACGGUCCAGACACCUACGGGUGGCAGCAGUCGAGAAUUUUUCACAAUGGGCGCAAGCCUGAUGGAGCGACGCCGCGUGGGGGAUGAAUGGCUUCGGCCCGUAAACCCCUGUCAUUUGCGAACAAGUUGGUUCAAUUAACACCUGAACCAUUGAUAGUAGCGAAAGAGGAAGGGACGGCUAACUCUGUGCCAGCAGCCGCGGUAAUACAGAGGUCCCAAGCGUUGUUCGGAUUCACUGGGCGUAAAGGGUGCGUAGGUGGUGAGGUAAGUCGGAUGUGAAAUCUCCGAGCUCAACUCGGAAACUGCAUUGGAAACUACCUUGCUCGAGGGUUGGAGGGGGGACUGGAAUACUUGGUGUAGCAGUGAAAUGCGUAGAUAUCAAGUGGAACACCAGUGGCGAAGGCGAGUCCCUGGACAACUCCUGACACUGAGGCACGAAAGCUAGGGGAGCAAACAGGAUUAGAUACCCUAGUAGUCC
rnacentral:rRNA from 1 species